UACGAAGGGGGCUAGCGUUGUUCGGAAUCACUGGGCUUAAAGGGCGCGUAGGCGGGUCAGCAAGUCCGGGGUGAAAUCUUUCGGCUUAACCGGAAAAGUGCCUUGGAUACUGCUGGUCUCGAGGGAGGUAGGGGUCUGUGGAACUUCGGGUGGAGCGGUGAAAUGCGUUGAUAUCGGAAGGAACGCCGGUGGCGAAAGCGACGUGCUGGCCCUCUUCUGACGCUGAGGCGCGAAAGCCAGGGGAGCGAACGGG
rnacentral:rRNA from 1 species